GGGUUCAUCCGUUGGUCGGGCUUUUUUGGUCUGUACUGGCGUGAUGGAUUCCUACCUUCUGAAUAACCAGCAUGUCAUUAAUUUGGUGCGCUGGGGAAGCAGGACUGUUACCUUGAAAAAAUUAGAGUGUUUAAAGCAAUCUAACGCUUGAAUACAUUAGCAUGGAAUAAUGAAAUAGGACGGCAUGGUUCUAUUUUGGUGGUUUCUAGGAUCACCGUA
rnacentral:rRNA from 1 species